CUUUGGCGUAGUCACAGUGUUGUGUGGUCUAGUUCUGAGAGACUUUCAUCACCCCGAGGAAACCCCAAUCCCAUGGGACUUGGUGGUACAUUCUCGUAGAUCCCAGCAAUGGGGAAGAUGAGGCUGGAGACCCACAGCUAUGCAUUUAGCCUGGGGUUUAUCUCAUGUCUCCUCAACAACACAACAGCCGCCACCACCACCAAAGUGAUACGUCUGAUCGUCUAAGUAGCGACCUCUAUGUCUUAACGAACAUUUCCAGUUAAAACACGGUGAAAUAAAGAACUUUGCACCUGGGUCCCCGAUAAAACAGCUCUCUUUCGUGACAGGGCAUACUGACAUUUGAGAAUGUGGCCAUAGACUGCUCUUGGGAGGAAUGGGAAUGCCUGAGCUCUGUACAGAGGGCUUUGUCCAAAGAUGUCAUGUUGGAGAACUAAGGCAACCUGGUCUCUGUGGGCCUUGCAGUGUCAAAACCAGAACUAAUCAGUUCUCUUCAACAAAACAAAAGACUCCUGGAAUGUGAACAAAAGAGUGACAGAAGACAACGAGAAAGGUUGUCUAAAAUUCCAUGUUGGAGAGAAAUCAUGUAAAUAUAACUUAUGUAAAAAACACUUCAGGAGACCUUCACACCUCACCAGUCAUAGGAGACUGCAUUCUGAAGAGGCACCGUUAACCCGUAAGGAAUGUGGGCAGCGCUGCAGUGAAUGUUCACACCUCACUAAGAAUAAUAGGACUGACCCCAGAGAGGAGGCAUACAGAUUCAGCAAGAGUGCCAAGGCCUUUAAAGAGCUCUCACUUCAUAGAACAUACCAUGAAAUCCGUCCUUUGAUAAACCCCACCAGGUAUGAGAAGUGUAAAAUAAAUCUCAGGAGCACCUCAAAUCUCACCAUACAUCCAAUUCUGUCUACAGUAAGGAAAUCCUACACAAGUGAGGAAUGUGGAAAAUGGCGCCAGAACUACCCAAACUCUAGCAGACACCAGAGAAUUCAUACAUGAGAAAAAUCUUACAAAUGUAAAGACCGUUGCAAGUCUUUUGCCUAUCACUCAUCUCAUAAAAGGUCACUACAGAAUCCAUACUGGUGAGAAACCUUACAGAUUUGAAGAAUGUGACAAAAUCCUUUGCCUAUAAUUUGACACUUCAAACUCACCACAGAAUCUAUUCAGAAGGGAAACCUUAGAAAUAUGAAGCAUGUGGAAAUUUCUUUCCCAGGACUCAAAUCUUCAGGCUCACCACAGAAUCCAUUCUUGUGAUAAACCUUACAGAUGUAAAGAAUGUGGCAAGUUCUUUACUCAUUUCUCAAGUCUUCACUCUCAUUACAUAAUUCAUACUCAUGACAAACCUUACAAAUGUCAAGAAUGUUAGAAAUCCUUUACCAGAACCUCUAAUAUUAGAAGCCACCAGAGAAUUCAUAUAAUGGAAAAGCUUUGUAAAUGUCCUUAGAAUAUCUCACAUUAACUCACUGUGUAAGAAAGACUUCAUCCAGGGACGUGGUUCUAUUAUAUUUUCAAAGACUUCAAUUAAUUUCAAAGCUUAGUCAAUACUAGGGAAGCCUCUUUAAGAAGUUCUACACUUGCUGGGUGCUGGUGGUGCACACCUUUAGUCUCAGCACUCGGGAGGCAGAGCAGGCAGAUCUCUGUGAGUUCGAGGCCAGCCUGGUCUACAAGAGCUAGUUCCA